rnacentral:rRNA from 1 species
UACGUAGGAUCCGAGCGUUGUUCGGAAUUACUGGGCGUAAAGGGCGCGUAGGCGGCCUUCUAAGUCGAACGUGAAAUCCCUGGGCUCAACCCAGGAACUGCGUCCGAGACUGGGAGGCUAGAAUCCGGGAGAGGGAUGUGGAAUUCCAGGUGUAGCGGUGAAAUGCGUAGAUAUCUGGAGGAACAUCGGUGGCGAAGGCGGCAUCCUGGACCGGUAUUGACGCUGAGGCGCGAAAGCCAGGGGAGCAAACGGG